rnacentral:rRNA from 1 species
UACGUAGGCAGCGAGCGUUGUUCGGAGUUACUGGGCGUAAAGGGUGUGUAGGCGGUUGGAUAAGUCGAAUGUGAAAGCCCCCGGCUUAACUGGGGAGGGUCAUUCGAUACUGUUUGACUUGAAGGCAGGAGAGGGCAGCAGAAUUCCCGGUGUAGUGGUGAAAUGCGUAGAUAUCGGGAGGAAUACCAGUGGCGAAGGCGGCUGCCUGGCCUGUUCUUGACGCUGAGGCGCGAAAGCUGGGGGAGCAAACGGG